UAUACUCAUACUCAAUUGUCUCUUCUUAUUUUAUUAAUCCCAUUAAAGAAAUACAAUAACAAAAAUUUAUAGCAUAAAAAUAAAUAUAUAACUUGACGAGACAUACAUACCCGAAGGGUUUAAGGUAAUUAUUUAGCUAUGUAUUAUAUAUGACAUUUAUAAACAUACUUUCACACUCAUUCUAUAAUAUAGAUCGAUAUAUACUCUUUCUUUCAAUCCUAAAAUAAAAAAAAAAAAAUUAAUUAAUAAAAGUGAAUAUAUUUAAUUCAAAUUUUAAACGAAUAUAUUUAAAAAAUUUAACACAUUCUUACUUAUAUUAUACGACGGAAGAAAGUAUAUCAAUAAGACACAGAAGCCAUGGCCACGAUCAAUAAUAUAUCAUGAAAGAGUUUAUGGUUUACGUGCCAUUAUAAGUGUGCACAAUAGAGUGACCACACGAGACAAAAGUUAGGAUUAAUACUAGUAGGAUUAAGGACACACUUCUUAAACCAUAUAUAACAUAAUUCCAUAGCAUCAACCGCUAUUAAUAUUCCAGUGUCACUAUAGGCGCGAGCGCGAUUGAUCAUAAUUGCCAUAACAAAGAGAACUAAAACAAGUGAAGUAGAGAUGAAUUUUGCCAUAGUGUAAAGUAUCAAUAUGAUUAUACUCUUUUACACUUCUUUUUAUUUUUCCUUUUCUUUUUUCUGUUUGCAUGUAUUGAAAU
rnacentral:lncRNA from 1 species